AUUGAACGCUGGCGGCAUGCUUUACACAUGCAAGUCGAACGGUAACAGGCCGCGAGGUGCUGACGAGUGGCGAACGGGUGAGUAAUGCAUCGGAACGUGCCCAGUCGUGGGGGAUAACUAUCCGAAAGGAUAGCUAAUACCGCAUACGAUCUGCGGAUGAAAGCGGGGGACCUUCGGGCCUCGCGCGAUUGGAGCGGCCGAUGUCAGAUUAGGUAGUUGGUGGGGUAAAGGCUCACCAAGCCAACGAUCUGUAGCUGGUCCGAGAGGACGACCAGCCACACUGGGACUGAGACACGGCCCAGACUCCUACGGGAGGCAGCAGUGGGGAAUUUUGGACAAUGGGCGCAAGCCUGAUCCAGCAAUGCCGCGUGCAGGAAGAAGGCCUUCGGGUUGUAAACUGCUUUUGUACGGAACGAAACGGCUCUGGAUAAUACCUGGGGCUAAUGACGGUACCGUAAGAAUAAGCACCGGCUAACUACGUGCCAGCCGCCGCCGUAA
rnacentral:rRNA from 1 species